rnacentral:rRNA from 1 species
AGUACGGAUUCUGGGCGUAAGCGUGCGUAGGCGGCUGUUUAAGUCAGAUGUGAAAGCCCCGGGCUUAACCUGGGAACUGCAUUUGAUACUGGGCAGCUAGAGUUGAGUAGAGGAGAGGGGAAUUUCAGGUGUAGCGGUGAAAUGCGUAGAGAUCUGAAGGAACACCAGUGGCGAAGGCGCCUCUCUGGACUCAAACUGACGCUGAGGUACGAAAGCGUGGGUAGCAAACAGGAUUAGAUACCCUGGUAGUCCACGCCGUAAACGAUGUCAACUAGCCGUUGGUCUUAUUCGUAAGAUUAGUGGCGUAGCUAACGCGAUAAGUUGACCGCCUGGGGAGUACGGCCGCAAGGUUAAAACUCAAAUGAAUUGACGGGGGCCCGCACAAGCGGUGGAGCAUGUGGUUUAAUUCGAUGCAACGCGAAGAACCUUACCUACCCUUGACAUCCAUAGAAUC